GGUGCAUGGUUGUCGUCAGCUCGUGUCGUGAGAUGUUGGGUUAAGUCCCGCAACGAGCGCAACCCUCGCCUCUAGUUGCCAGCAUUCGGUUGGGCACUCUAGAGGGACUGCCGGCGACAAGUCGGAGGAAGGUGGGAUGACGUCAAAUCAUCAUGCCCCUUAUGACCUGGGCUACACACGUGCUACAAUGGGCGGUACAAAGGGCUGCGAACUCGCGAGAGCGCGCCAAUCUCAGAAAGCCAUCCUCAGUUCGGAUUGGAGUCUGCAACUCGACUCCAUGAAGUUGGAAUCGCUAGUAAUCGCGGAUCAGCACGCCGCGGUGAAUACGUUCCCGGGCCUU
rnacentral:rRNA from 1 species